rnacentral:rRNA from 1 species
UACGUAGGGUGCGAGCGUUGUCCGGAAUUAUUGGGCGUAAAGAGCUCGUAGGCGGUGUGUCGCGUCGGUCGUGAAAACUUGGGGCUUAACUCUGAGCUUGCGGUCGAUACGGGCAUGACUGGAGUUCGGUAGGGGAGACUGGAAUUCCUGGUGUAGCGGUGAAAUGCGCAGAUAUCAGGAGGAACACCGGUGGCGAAGGCGGGUCUCUGGGCCGAUACUGACGCUGAGGAGCGAAAGCGUGGGGAGCGAACAGG